GCUGCGGUAGCUCAAUGGUGGAGCAGCGGUUUCGUAAACCGCAGGUUGCCGGUUCAAGUCCGGCCCGCAGCUC
rnacentral:tRNA from 1 species